AUGUGUCCAGGAACACAGAACAGUGGUGGCCAGGAACACAGAACAGAGGUGUCCAGGAACACAGAACAGUGGUGGCCAGGAACACAGAACAGAGGUGUCCAGGAACACAGCACAGUGGUGUCCAGGAACAUAGAACAGAGGUGUCCAGGAACACAGUACAGAGGUGUCCAGGAACACAGAACAGUGGUGUCCAGGAACACAGAACAGUGGUGUCCAGGAACACAGUACAGAGGUGUCCAGGAACACAGAACAGUGGUGUCCAGGAACAAAGUACAGUGGUGUCCAGGAACACAGAACAGUGGUGUCCAGGAACACAGUACAGUGGUGUCCAGGAACACAGCACAGUGGUGUCCAGGAACACAGCACAGUGGUGUCCAGGAACACAGAACAGUGGUGUCCAGGAACACAGAACAGUGGUGUCCAGGAACACAGUACAGUGGUGUCCAGGAACACAGUACAGAACAGUGGUGUCCAGGAACACAGUACAGUGGUGUCCAGGAACACGGCACAGUGGUGUCCAGGAACACAGUACAGUGGUGUCCAGGAACACAGAACAGUGGUGUACUGGAACACAGAACAGUGGUGUCCAGGAACACAGUACAGUGGUGUCCAGGAACUUUGAACAGUGGUGUCCAGGAACACAGUACAGAGGUGUCCAGGAACACAGAACAGUGGUGUCCAGGAACACAGAACAGUGGUGUCCAGGAACACAGUAGAGUGGUGUCCAUGAACACAGUACAGUGGUGUCCAGGAACACAGUACAGUGGUGUCCAGGAACACAGUACAGUGGUGUCCAGGAACACAGAACAGUGGUGUCCUGGAACACAGAACAAUGGUGUCCAGGAACACAGUACAGUGGUGUCCAGGAACAUUGAACAGUGGUGUCCAGGAACACAGUACAGAGGUGUCCAGGAACACAGAACAGUGGUGUCCAGGAACACAGAACAGUGGUGUCCAGGAACACAGUACAGUGGCGUCCAGGAACACAGUACAGUGGUGUCCAGGAACACAGUACAGUGGUGUCCAGGAACACAGUACAGUGGUGUCCAGGAACACAGUACAGUGGUGUCCAGGAACACAGUACAGUGGUGUCCAGGAACACAGAACAGUGGUGUCCAGGAACACAGUACAGUGGUGUCCAGGAACACAGAACAGUGGUGUCCUGGAACACAGAACAGUGGUGUCCAGGAACACAGUACAGUGGUGUCCAGGAACAUUGAACAGUGGUGUCCAGGAACACAGUACAGAGGUGUCCAGGAACACAGAACAGUGGUGUCCAGGAACACAGAACAGUGGUGUCCAGGAACACAGAACAGAACAGUGGUGUCCAGGAACACAGUACAGAACAGUGAUGUCCAGGAACACAGUACAGUACAGUGGUGUCCAGGAACACAGAACAGAACAGUGGUGUCCAGGAACACAGAACAGAACAGUGAUGUCCAGGAACACAGAACAGAACAGUGGUGUCCAGGAACACAGUACAGAACAGUGGUGUCCAGGAACACAGAACAGAACAGUGGUGUCCAGGAACACAGUACAGUACAGUGGUGUCCAGGAACACAGAACAGAACAGUGGUGUCCAGGAACACAGAACAGAACAGUGGUGUCCAGGAACACAGUACAGAACAGUGGUGUCCAGGAACACAGAACAGUACAGUGGUGUCCAGGAACACAGUACAGAACAGUGGUGUCCAGGAACACAGUACAGUGGUGUCCAGGAACACAGAACAGUGGUGUCCAGGAACACAGAACAGAACAGUGGUGUCCAGGAACACAGAACAGAACAGUGGUGUCCAGGAACACAGAACAGUGGUGUCCAGGAACACAGAACAGAGGUACAACAGUACAACAGAACAAUGUUCUUGA
rnacentral:lncRNA from 1 species